GAUGAACGCUGGCGGCGUGCCUAAUACAUGCAAGUCGAGCGAACAGACGAGGAGCUUGCUCCUCUGACGUUAGCGGCGGACGGGUGAGUAACACGUGGAUAACCUACCUAUAAGACUGGGAUAACUUCGGGAAACCGGAGCUAAUACCGGAUAAUAUAUUGAACCGCAUGGUUCAAUAGUGAAAGACGGUUUUGCUGUCACUUAUAGAUGGAUCCGCGCCGCAUUAGCUAGUUGGUAAGGUCACGGCUUACCAAGGCAACGAUGCGUAGCCGACCUGAGAGGGUGAUCGCCCACACUGGAACUGAGACACGGUCCAGGCUCCUACGGGAGGCAGCAGUAGGGAAUCUUCCGCAAAGGGCGAAAGCCUGACGGAGCAACGCCGCGUGAGUGAUGAAGGUCUUCGGAUCGUAAAACUCUGUUAUUAGGGAAGAACAAAUGUGUAAGUAACUAUGCACGUCUUGACGGUACCUAAUAAGAAAGCCACGGCUAACUACGUG
rnacentral:rRNA from 1 species